rnacentral:rRNA from 1 species
CACGUAGGGGGCAAGCGUUGUCCGGAUUUACUGGGCGUAAAGAGCGCGUAGGCGGUUCGGUAAGUCGGGUGUGACAACUCCAGGCUCAACCUGGAGGGGUCACUCGAUACUGCUGUGACUAGAGUCCGGUAGGGGAGCGUGGAAUUCCCGGUGUAGCGGUGAAAUGCGCAGAUAUCGGGAGGAACACCAAUGGCGAAGGCGGUGCUCUGGGCCGGAACUGACGCUGAGGAGCGAAAGCGUGGGUAGCAAACAGG